AGCAGUAGCCGCGGGAAUACGAAGGGUGCAAGCGUUGUUCGGAAUUAUUGGGCGUAAAGGGUGCGUAGGCGGUUUGAUAAGUCUUGUGUGAAAUCUCUGGGCUCAACCCAGAGUCUGCACAGGAAACUGUCGGGCUUGAGAGUGGGAGAGGUGAGUGGAAUUUCCGGUGUAGCGGUGAAAUACGUAGAUAUCGGAAGGAACACCUGUGGCGAAAGCGGCUCACUGGACCAUUUCUGACGCUGAUGCACGAAAGCUAGGGGAGCAAACAGGAUUAGAUACCCCCGUAGUCCCUGUCUCUUAUAC
rnacentral:rRNA from 1 species